UUGACACAAGAUGUCUGGAGCUGUUAUCAUGCAGCACCUUGACUUUUGUAGUAACUUUCUUUCAGAGCAGAUGGAUUAAACCUGUGGCAGAGUGCCCCACACCAGCAUUGUUCCUUGUCUUUAUUUUCAGGAAGUAAUACUGGAUACCAGCGGUCAAGGAUGAUGGAAUGAGGCCCUGCCACUGCCCUCAGAAUGCCAAGGAACAGAGCAAACAGGAAUUCUCUGGGCCAUCCGUCCAGAUCAUCCAGAUUAGAUGAAAAGUUGAGGUAUCUGUGAGCAGCUAUGGAGCUGAAGUUUGGAAACAGCAGCUGCCAUGGGGAACGUAUCAACAUCCACAGUGCUGAUGUGCUCUUUUCUGUCAAGGAUGGAUUUUGGCCACUUGUCUUCAGAGAGCUAAGUGUUCAGACUGGUGGUUGGGAGGAGGAAAAUUUUUGGGAGGCAAUUUAAAGUUAGUUUUGAGGGGAGGGCUGUUGUGGGACAUACCCUUUGGGACUAAAGUGGGAGGGUUUUCCUCAGCAUCACCCAAACCUUUAUAGAGCUGUUCCAACCCAUCUCUGUGUUGUCAUGAUCUUCGUGUCAUCAGCCUUUGAGUCUUGAUGUCAUCCUGGAUCUUUUUGCCCGAGGAGCCCACCUUUGGGUCUGGCACGAUGGCCACGGUCACCAUUUUACCUGCUCAUCAGUGCUCAAGCACUUCCUAGGGUAGCAUGCACACAUCCUGAGCCUUGGCCACAUUCUGCAAUGUCCCUUUGGUGGCAGAGUCCUUCUCUAGGGAUUCCUUUGUAUCACCUGGCAGUCAUUGGACCUACUCUAGGCCUACUGUGCUUCUCAAGCAUCCUCUUAACAGCUUCGGCACUGACUUCUUGUAAGGAGAUCUUGGCCUAGAGCCUUCUUUCCUUCGGCAUCAUCGGCCUCUGGCUCAUCUUGCACUAGGAAUCUUGGUUUCAUGAGGUGAAAGUGCUGGGAAGUUUCAGCUUGUGUUGAUGUAAUGGAUCUUGUGUCUAUGUUCUGUUGUUUGUGUCCGUUGUCUUCUGUGUCACAGGGCUUUGUUGUGCCUCUGUGUUUUGUCAGCGUGGGUCUCUACUUGUGUACUUUUCCAGAUCAGCCUUAUUCUGGCAUCUUUACAUUCUUACUUCUUGAGGACAGAAGUACACAAAAUGCUCUCAUCCCUCUUCCUUCUCAGUUUUGGAAGUAUCUUUUUUUCAUGUGCCAUUCCUCACUGUGGUAGUUCUGUAGGUUCUGUUGCCUCAAAGUGUAUCAGGCUCCAUUAUUUAUCUUCUGGAGAGUUAUCGCAAGUUCUCACGUCAUCUUUGCUUAUAUUUGGUGCAUUUAUGCUUAGAGCUGCCCUGCCCUGGCAUGUAGAGUUAUGGCUGGGUUGAACAGUUAUAAAACUAUAAACCUCUCUUGUCUGGGGAGUUUUGGGUAGAAAAUUUAUGGGCCUGGUGUGGGGAGAACUCUGUCAGUUACUCAUAUCUCACCUCACAUUGUCUUGCAGGUCCCCGAGGCGGAUUCCGAUCCCUGCCGGCACCGAUGCUACUGAUUAUCCCAGAACCUUUUGUUCCAGGUCAAGGAGCAGCAGCUGAAGGGCUGCAGUCAGUGUGUGCUUUCAGCAAGUGACUGAAGUUGUCCUGAGAUCCACCCUGUCAGUAGCAGCUUCCCAUCCACCCUGGGAAACUGGGCAGGCUUUUUCCCCUGGAGAGAUGCUCCAGCAGCACUUGGUAGUGAGUGUUGGGGAUGCAUCCUUAAGGCAGCUUAAAUCCAUGAUCACCACAGGCUCUUGGCAGCACGGACUUCCCAGCUUAAGGGAAAAGGAGCCAUCAAAAUGACCCCUUCCAGUGCAGCAGCUGCUUUGUGCCAGAACCUGGAACCUGGCAUUGAUCCUGAUUGUCCAGCUCUGGAGUCACUGAAGUGCUGCAGGAUGGAAAACGGACAAGACAGUGCAGUGACUGCUCAUGUGGCUUUUGGGCAGGGCAAUUGGCAGUGGGUGUGUUUAGGGAGAGAUCCACUGCUUCCCUUCCCAGCAAAGGGUGGGAAGCACAGCCUGGAAGAUGAGGCUUGGGAAGGAACUGCAAGCUGAGAAGUGGCUCCAAUCUGCUUUCAACUCCUGGAAUGAUCUGUGUUGGAAAGAACCUUCCAGAUUAUCCUGUUCAACCCCCUGCCAUGGUCAGGGACAUCCUCCAUUUUCUUCCUUGGGAGCUGAUGUGCCUUAAGAGAGAAUGGUGAAAAGGCCAUUAUCCCUGACUGAAUCUCUGAAAAACAGGGAUUGAAGCUUUCUGAAAUGGCCCAAACCUGCCUGCAUAUAUCCAAAUGCAGCCCCUAGAAAAAUCUGUGUACAGUUGGGAUGAGACCUCAGCUGCUGUUACUUGCCAGCUCACAAGUUGUGUAGCUCAGUCUGCAGCCGUGAGGGGCCAGGCUGUGUUUGAAACAGCCCCAGGUACCAGAGAACUGCAGUCAUUUUCUAGCAGAUGACUUGACUGGGAAGCUGUAUUCUAAACUUUUGUCCACAUGUAUUUUAUCUCCCACCUGGAGAAGCCUAAAGAAGCAGAGGUGGGGUGAUCCUAACAAAAGAACAUGCAAAGCCAUCAGUGGCAGAGGACUUACAAUUGAAGUGUGAGUGGAGGUGCCUUUGGGACACUUCCAGUUCCUUAGUUUAAGAAUGGACUAUCCUGACAAGCUUGUAUGAUCUCCAAAGCCUCUGCAAGUGUUCUACAGCCAGGGAGGGAGACAAGACUCUGGAAUCUCUCCCCAAAAACUGUCUGCUGGUUCGUUUGACCAGGCAUAGGAAUAACUGUGUAUUCCCUGGAGCUGUCCUUAUGGAGAAAGGUUUAUUUAUGUGCCCUGAAUUAAUGCAGUGUAUCUUCAAAAUGAUUUCAUUGAAAUGCCAGGGGUGCCAAAUGCUUUCUCUGGCCAGAGCUCGGAGCCAGUCCUGUGGGAAGGGGUUUAAUGCCCAUUUUCCCAAUCCCUUGAGGCAGCAGCACAUGCACCCAAACAUGCCCAAGGUUCUGGCAGGAGGCAAAUCCAGGGCUUUGGACAGUAGGAACUUGCACGGCUCCUGUAAUCCCAGACCUAGAGCUGUGCUUUAGAACUCCCAGGAGAUACUGCCUCACUCAAAAUUCAUUUAAAGCUCAGCAUCCCUCCUGCUCCCUUGGAAUUAUUGUUGCUACCAUUGUUGCUCUUUCCCAAAAACAUGAUUAUUAUGGUGAAUUCCCACUCUCUUUCUUCCAUAGCCCUUUGCUUCCCAGAGGUGCUUCCUUCCCUCCCUGCUGCACUCUGCCUUUUCCAGGGGUCUCUGAGGGAGAAGUUCUUUGUCAUUCCAGGGCUGAAUUAGCUCUGGCCCCACUAAAAGCAGGAGGAAUCAUUUUAUCCUUGUUUUUGGACACACAUUUUGUAUUUUCUCUAUUUUGCUGACACCAUGCGGUGCUCCAGCAGCUCCCAACGUUUCAGUGCUGCUCUCUUGAACAGUUCUUAUUUGUAAAGCCACUACUUCCCUGCUGGAAUCCCAGUCACAGCCCCCCAGAACAAUGUGCAGGUUAAGGUCUUACACCUUGACCAGGACAAUUUUCUGUCUCUAGACAUGGAAAAUAGAGGAAAUAAUGGAUUGGAACCAGAAUCCAGGCUUUUCCAGGGGAAAGUGAGGUAGUGUGCUUGGCAUAGGCAGGAGUUGGUACAGGGGGUGCUCCCUGUUGGGUGACAUAUGUCUGGAACAGAUCCUUCUCUUCCUCUUUCCAAAGUCCAGUGGCAAAGGAGUGAAUAACUCACAGGUAUGUGUGGUCUGGAAUGAAAAUUGUCCUGUUAAAAUUAGGCAAAUAAGAAAAAAAAUAUUGAAAAAUA